AAGAGUUUGAUCCUGGCUCAGGAUGAACGCUGGCGGCGUGUUUAAGGCAUGCAAGUCGAACGUGGCUAGUGCGUAGCACCAAGAAAUUAAAAAUUGAUUCCUUGGUGCUAUGUGCUGGUCUAGUGGCAAACGGGUGAGUAACACAUUGAUAACCUACCUCCGAGACGGGGAUAGCUCGCCGAAAGGCGAAUUAAUACCCGAUGGUAAUGCGGGGACGCAAGUCAUUCGCAUUUAAAGUUUUCGCGCUCGGAGAGGGGUCUAUGUCUGAUUAGCUAGUUGGUAAGGUAAAAGCUUACCAAGGCUUUGAUCAGUAGCAGGCGUGAGAGCGUGACCUGCCUCACUGGGACUGAGACACUGCCCAGACACCUACGGGUGGCUGCAGUCAAGAAUAUUCCACAAUGGGGGAAACCCUGAUGGAGCGACGCCGCGUGUAGGAUGAAGGCCUUCGGGUCGUAAACUACUUUUAUAAGGGAAGAAUUCGUGACGGUACCUUAUGAAUAAGAGGUUGCUAACUCUGUGCCAGCAGCAGCGGUAAUACAGAGACCUCAAGCGUUAUCCGGAUUUAUUGGGCGUAAAGCGUCUGUAGGUGGUAUAGCGGGUUAGAGGUAAAAACCGUGCGCUCAACGCAAGGUCUGCCUUUAAAACUACUAUACUAGAGAAUGGAAGAGGUAAGCGGAAUUGCUGGUGUAGUCGUAAUAAGCGUUGAUAUCAGCAAGAACACCAAAUGCGAAGGCAGCUUACUGGUACAUUUCUGACACUGAGAGACUAAAGCGUGGGGAGCAAACAGGAUUAGAUACCCUGGUAGUCCACGCCCUCAACGAUGCAUACUAGGUAUUGGCAGUAUCGACCCUGCCAGUGCCGUUUAAAAAAGCUAACGCGUUAAGUAUGCCGCCUGGGAAGUACGGUCGCAAGACUAAAACUCAAAGGAAUAGACGGGGACCCGCACAAGCGGUGGAUUAUGUGGUUUAAUUCGAUGAUAAGCGGCGAACCUUACCUGGGCUCAACUACUAGCUGCAAUCCUGAUGAAAGUCGGGGUGCCUUCGAGGGUGCUAGAUAGGUGCUGCAUGGUUGCCGUCAGCUCGUGCCGUGAGGUGUACCGUUAAGUCGGGAAACGAGCGCAACCCACGUCGUGUGUUAAAUGUACACACGAGACUGCCUACGCAAGUAGGAGGAAGGAGUGGACGACGUCAAAUCAGCAUGGCUCUUACGUCCAGGGCUACACACAUAAUACAAUGGCCGGUACAACGGGCAGCUAAGUCGCGAGACGGAGCUAAUCCUUUAAAACCGGCCCCAGUUCAGAUUGCAGGCUGCAACUCGUCUGCAUGAAGUUGGAAUCGCUAGUAAACGCGCAUCAGCCACGGCGCGUUGAAUACGUUCUCGGGUCUUGUACUCACCGCCCGUCACACCAUGGAAGUUGGCAAUGCCUGAAAUCUCCUUACGGGGAUGAAGGCAGGGUCAAUGACUGGGGUGAAGUCGUAACAAGGCAUCCCUAGCGGAAGCUGGGGAUGGAUCACCUCCUU
rnacentral:rRNA from 1 species